rnacentral:rRNA from 1 species
UACGGGGGGGGCAAGCGUUGUUCGGAAUUACUGGGCGUAAAGGGCUUGUAGGUGGCCAACUAAGUCAGACGUGAAAUCCCUCGGCUUAACCGGGGAACUGCGUCUGAUACUGGAUGGCUUGAGUGUGGGAGAGGGAUGCGGAAUUCCAGGUGUAGCGGUGAAAUGCGUAGAUAUCUGGAGGAACACCGGUGGCGAAGGCGGCAUCCUGGACCGGUAUUGACGCUGAGGCGCGAAAGCCAGGGGAGCAAACGGG